GACGAACGCUGGCGGCGUGCCUAAUACAUGCAAGUAGAACGCACAGUUUAUACCGUAGCUUGCUCCACCAUAGACUGUGAGUUGCGAACGGGUGAGUAACGCGUAGGUAACCUGCCUGGUAGCGGGUGAUAACUAUUGGAAACGAUAGCUAAUACCGCAUAAUAUUAAUUAUUGCAUGAUAAUUAAUUGAAAGGUGCAAUUGCACCACUACCAGAUGGACCUGCGUUGUAUUAGCUAGUAGGUGAGGUAACGGCUCACCUAGGCGACGAUACAUAGCCGACCUGAGAGGGUGAUCGGCCACACUGGGACUGAGACACGGCCCAGACUCCUACGGGAGGCAGCAGUAGGGAAUCUUCGGCAAUGGACGAAAGUCUGACCGAGCAACGCCGCGUGAGUGAAGAAGGUUUUCGGAUCGUAAAGCUCUGUUGUAAGAGAAGAACGGGUGUGAGAGUGGAAAGUUCACACUGUGACGGUAUCUUACCAGAAAGGGGCGGCUAACUACGUG
rnacentral:rRNA from 1 species